rnacentral:tRNA from 1 species
GGAGGGAUGGCAGAGUGGUUGAAUGCACUGGUCUUGAAAACCAGCGAGCGUGCAAGCGUUCCCGGGGUUCGAAUCCCCGUCCCUCCGCCA